rnacentral:rRNA from 1 species
GCUCAACCGAGGAAGUGCUUCGAAAACUGGUAAACUUGAGUGCAGAAGAGGAAAGUGGAACUCCAUGUGUAGCGGUGGAAUGCGUAGAUAUAUGGAAGAACACCAGUGGCGAAGGCGGCUUUCUGGUCUGUAACUGACGCUGAGAUUCGAAAGCAUGGGUAGCAAACAGGAUUAGAUACCCUGGUAGUCCAUGCCGUAAACGAUGAGUGCUAAGUGUUGGAGGGUUUCCGCCCUUCAGUGCUGCAGCUAACGCAUUAAGCACUCCGCCUGGGGAGUACGAUCGCAAGAUUGAAACUCAAAGGAAUUGACGGGGGCCCGCACAAGCGGUGGAGCAUGUGGUUUAAUUCGAAGCAACGCGAAGAACCUUACCAGGUCUUGACAUACCAUGAAAAGCUAAGAGAUUAGUCUUUCCCUUCGGGGACAUGGAUACAGGUGGUGCAUGGUUGUCGUCAGCUCGUGUCGUGAGAUGUUGGGUUAAGUCCCGCAACGAGCGCAACCCUUAUUAUCAGUCGCCAGCAUUCAGUUGGGCACUCUGGUGAGACUGCCGGUGACAAACCGGAGGAAGGUGGGGACGACGUCAAAUCAUCAUGCCCCUUAUGACCUGGGCUACACACGUGCUACAAUGGUCGGUACAACG